GGGGGAGAGAUUAGCACAGCAAAGUUAUGGGAGGAUUGUUUUCAAGAGCUCCUCCAGUAAAAUUGCUUGAUGCACCAUGGAGGAAGCACUUUAACUGGGGAAAUAAAGAGGACGAUCUACAGUAUGUGAACAGCUACAAGCCUCAGACUAAAGAACAGCAGCUCAGGAUUCUUCUACAAGGCCCAGUUGGAGCUGGAAAGUCCAGUUUCAUCAACUCUGUUAAAAGUGUCCUACAGAACAGAGCAUGCAGACAGGUCUCCUGUCCGAAGCACCUCCCAUUCAUCUUGCACAAAAAGGU